rnacentral:rRNA from 1 species
UAGGGAAUCUUCGGCAAUGGGGGGAACCCUGACCGAGCAACGCCGCGUGAGUGAAGAAGGUUUUCGGAUCGUAAAGCUCUGUUGUUAAGGAAGAACGAGUGUGAGAAUGGAAAGUUCAUACUGUGAAGGUACUUAACCAGAAAGGGACGGCUAACUACGUGCCAGCAGCCGCGGUAAUACGUAGGUCCCGAGCGUUGUCCGGAUUUAUUGGGCGUAAAGCGAGCGCAGGCGGUUAGAUAAGUCUGAAGUUAAAGGCAGUGGCUCAACCAUUGUAGGCUUUGGAAACUGUUUAACUUGAGUGCAGAAGGGGAGAGUGAAAUUCCAUGUGUAGCGGUGAAAUGCGUAGAUAUAUGGAGGAACACCGGUGGCGAAAGCGGCUCUCUGGUCUGUAACUGACGCUGAGGCUCGAAAGCGUGGGGAGCGAACAGG